rnacentral:rRNA from 1 species
ACGUUGUUCGGAAUUACUGGGCGUAAAGCGCGUGUAGGCGGCAGCGCAAGUCUGGCGUGAAAUCCCACGGCUCAACCGUGGAAGUGCACUCGAAACUGCGCAGCUAGAGUCCUGGAGAGGAAGGUGGAAUGCUUGGUGUAGAGGUGAAAUUCGUAGAUAUCAAGCGGAACACCGGUGGCGAAGGCGGCCUUCUGGACAGUGACUGACGCUGAGACGCGAAAGCGUGGGGAGCAAACAGG